GAGGAAUAUUGGUCAAUGGACGAGAGUCUGAACCAGCCAAGUAGCGUGAAGGAUGACUGCCCUAUGGGUUGUAAACUUCUUUUAUACGGGAAUAAAGUUAGCCACGUGUGGCUUUUUGUAUGUACCGUAUGAAUAAGGAUCGGCUAACUCCGUGCCAGCAGCCGCGGUAAUACGGAGGAUCCGAGCGUUAUCCGGAUUUAUUGGGUUUAAAGGGAGCGUAGGCGGGUUGUUAAGUCAGUUGUGAAAGUUUGCGGCUCAACCGUAAAAUUGCAGUUGAUACUGGCGACCUUGAGUGCAACAGAGGUAGGCGGAAUUCGUGGUGUAGCGGUGAAAUGCUUAGAUAUCACGAAGAACUCCGAUUGCGAAGGCAGCUUACUGGAUUGUAACUGACGCUGAUGCUCGAAAGUGUGGGUAUCAAACAGGAUUAGAUACCCUGGUAGUCCACACAGUAAACGAUGAAUACUCGCUGUUGGCGAUAUACGGUCAGCGGCCAAGCGAAAGCAUUAAGUAUUCCACCUGGGGAGUACGCCGGCAACGGUGAAACUCAAAGGAAUUGACGGGGGCCCGCACAAGCGGAGGAACAUGUGGUUUAAUUCGAUGAUACGCGAGGAACCUUACCCGGGCUUAAAUUGCAACUGACUGAACCGGAAACGGUUCUUUCUUCGGACAGUUGUGAAGGUGCUGCAUGGUUGUCGUCAGCUCGUGCCGUGAGGUGUCGGCUUAAAUGCCAUAACGAGCGCAACCCUUAUCGAUAGUUACUAGCAGGUCAUGCUGAGGACUCUAUUGAGACUGCCGUCGUAAGAUGUGAGGAAGGUGGGGAUGACGUCAAAUCAGCACGGCCCUUACGUCCGGGGCUACACACGUGUUACAAUGGGGGGUACAGAAGGCAGCUACACGGCGACGUGGUGCUAAUCCCGAAAGCCUCUCUCAGUUCGGAUUGGAGUCUGCAACCCGACUCCAUGAAGCUGGAUUCGCUAGUAAUCGCGCAUCAGCCACGGCGCGGUGAAUACGUUCCCG
rnacentral:rRNA from 1 species